rnacentral:rRNA from 1 species
UACAGAGGUCCCAAGCGUUGUUCGGAUUCAUUGGGCGUAAAGGGUGCGUAGGUGGCGUCGUAAGUCGGGUGUGAAAUCUCGGGGCUUAACUCCGAAACUGCAUUCGAUACUGCGGUGCUUGAGGACUGGAGAGGAGACUGGAAUUUACGGUGUAGCAGUGAAAUUCGUAGAUAUUCGCAAGAACACCAGUGGCGAAGGCGGCUCACUGGCCCGAUACUGACGCUGAGGCACGAAAGCGUGGGGAGCAAACAGG